rnacentral:rRNA from 1 species
AACGCCCGGACACAUUCCGAACCCGGAAGCUAAGACUCGCAGCGCCGAUGGUACUGCAGGGGAGACCCUGUGGGAGAGUAGGACACCGCCGGAC